rnacentral:rRNA from 1 species
CGGCAGACGGGUGAGUAACGCGUGGGAAUCUACCUUUUGCUACGGAAUAACUCAGGGAAACUUGUGCUAAUACCGUAUGUGCCCUUCGGGGGAAAGAUUUAUCGGCAAAGGAUGAGCCCGCGUUGGAUUAGCUAGUUGGUGAGGUAAAGGCUCACCAAGGCGACGAUCCAUAGCUGGUCUGAGAGGAUGAUCAGCCACACUGGGACUGAGACACGGCCCAGACUCCUACGGGAGGCAGCAGUGGGGAAUAUUGGACAAUGGGCGCAAGCCUGAUCCAGCCAUGCCGCGUGAGUGAUGAAGGUCUUAGGAUUGUAAAGCUCUUUCACCGGUGAAGAUAAUGACGGUAACCGGAGAAGAAGCCCCGGCUAACUUCGUGCCAGCAGCCGCGGUAAUACGAAGGGGGCUAGCGUUGUUCGGAUUUACUGGGCGUAAAGCGCACGUAGGCGGACUUUUAAGUCAGGGGUGAAAUCCCGGGGCUCAACCCCGGAACUGCCUUUGAUACUGGAAGUCUUGAGUAUGGUAGAGGUGAGUGGAAUUCCGAGUGUAGAGGUGAAAUUCGUAGAUAUUCGGAGGAACACCAGUGGCGAAGGCGGCUCACUGGACCAUUACUGACGCUGAGGUGCGAAAGCGUG